rnacentral:rRNA from 1 species
UACAGAGGUCUCAAGCGUUGUUCGGAUUCAUUGGGCGUAAAGGGUGCGUAGGCGGCGCGGUAAGUCGGGUGUGAAAUUUCGAGGCUUAACUUCGAAACUGCAUUCGAUACUGCCGUGCUCGAGGACUGGAGAGGAGACUGGAAUUUACGGUGUAGCGGUGAAAUGCGUAGAUAUCGAGAGGAACACCUGCGGCGAAGGCGGGUCUCUGGGCCGUAACUGACGCUGAGGAGCGAAAGCAUGGGGAGCGAACAGG